rnacentral:piRNA from 1 species
UGGUCAAUCACAGGUGCUUGUGUGGUUAUC